rnacentral:rRNA from 2 species
UAUUGGGCGUAAAGCGCGCGCAGGCGGUUCCUUAAGUCUGAUGUGAAAGCCCCCGGCUCAACCGGGGAGGGUCAUUGGAAACUGGGGAACUUGAGUGCAGAAGAGGAGAGCGGAAUUCCACGUGUAGCGGUGAAAUGCGUAGAGAUGUGGAGGAACACCAGUGGCGAAGGCGGCUCUCUGGUCUGUAACUGACGCUGAGGCGCGAAAGCGUGGGGAGCGAACAGGAUUAGAUACCCUGGUAGUCCACGCCGUAAACGAUGAGUGCUAAGUGUUAGAGGGUUUCCGCCCUUUAGUGCUGCAGCAAACGCAUUAAGCACUCCGCCUGGGGAGUACGGCCGCAA